CAGUCGCCGCGGUAAUACGUAGGGACCAAGCGUUGUUCGGAUUUACUGGGCGUAAAGGGCGCGUAGGCGGCAAUUCAAGUCAUCUGUGAAAUCUCCGGGCUUAACUCGGAACGGUCAGAUGAUACUGCUUUGCUAGAGUACAGAAGGGGCAAUCGGAAUUCUUGGUGUAGCGGUGAAAUGCGUAGAUAUCAAGAGGAACACCUGAGGUGAAGACGGGUUGCUGGGCCAACACUGACGCUCAUGCACGAAAGCGUGGGGAGCAAACAGGAUUAGAUACCCCGGUAGUCCCUGUCUCUUAUAC
rnacentral:rRNA from 1 species